AUUGAACGCUGGCGGCAUGCUUUACACAUGCAAGUCGAACGGUAACAGGCCGCAAGGUGCUGACGAGUGGCGAACGGGUGAGUAAUGCAUCGGAACGUGCCCAGUCGUGGGGGAUAACGCAGCGAAAGCUGUGCUAAUACCGCAUACGAUCUCUGGAUGAAAGCGGGGGACCGUAAGGCCUCGCGCGAUUGGAGCGGCCGAUGUCAGAUGAGCAAGUUGGUGGGGUAAAGUCCACCCAAGGCGACGAUUUGUAGCAGGUCUGAGAGGACGACCAGCGACACGGGGAGUGAGACACGGCCCAGGCGCCUACGGGAGGCAGCAGUGGGUAAUUUUGGACAAGGGGCGCAAGCCUGAUCCAGCAAUGCCGCGUGCAGGAAGAAGGCCUUCGGGUUGUAAACUGCUUUUGUACGGAACGAAACGGUCUGGGUUAAUACCCUGGGCUGAUGACGGUACCGUAAGAAUAAGCACCGGCUAACUACGUGCCAGCAGCCGCCGUAA
rnacentral:rRNA from 1 species